rnacentral:rRNA from 1 species
UUGAACGCUGGCGGCAGGCCUAACACAUGCAAGUCGAGCGGAUGAAGGGAGCUUGCUCCUGGCUUCAGCGGCGGACGGGUGAGUAAUACCUAGGAAUCUGCCUGGUAGUGGGGGAUAACGUCCGGAAACGGGCGCUAAUACCGCAUACGUCCUGAGGGAGAAAGUGGGGGAUCUUCGGACCUCACGCUAUCAGAUGAGCCCAGGUCGGAUUAGCUAGUUGGUGGGGUAAAGGCCUACCAAGGCGACGAUCCGUAACUGGUCUGAGAGGAUGAUCAGUCACACUGGAACUGAGACACGGUCCAGACUCCUACGGGAGGCAGCAGUGGGGAAUAUUGGACAAUGGGCGAAAGCCUGAUCCAGCCAUGCCGCGUGUGUGAAGAAGGUCUUCGGAUUGUAAAGCACUUUAAGUUGGGAGGAAGGGCAGUAAGUUAAUACCUUGCUGUUUUGACGUUACCAACAGAAUAAGCACCGGCUAACUUCGUG